rnacentral:rRNA from 1 species
GGGUUACCCCGGGGGAUUAUAGCCACUACGACCGCGCGCUCCCUCCGGGGCAUCCAGGGGCUAUUACCGGGCUAAUACUCUUCCAUCACCCCGAUGGGAUGUUCGUCCAGGUGGCUUUUACAUAUCCACUUACAGACGGGGACGCGCGCGCAUCAGCUAGUUGGUGAGGUUACGGCUCACCAAGGCAACGAUGCGUAGCCGACCUGAGAGGGUGAUCGGCCACACUGGGACUGAGACACGGCCCAGACUCCUACGGGAGGCAGCAGUAGGGAAUCUUCCGCAAUGGACGAAAGUCUGACGGAGCAACGCCGCGUGAGUGAUGAAGGUUUUCGGAUCGUAAAGCUCUGUUGUUAGGGAAGAACAAGUGCCGUUUGAAUAGGGCGGCACCUUGACGGUACCUAACCAGAAAGCCCCGGCUAAAUACGUGCCAGCAGCCGCGGUAAAAAAUAAGGGGGGGAGGGGCUUUCUGAAAUAUUGGGGGUAAAAGCGCGCGUAGGCGGUCCUUUAAGUCUGAUGUGAAAGCCCACGGCUCAACCGUGGAGGGUCAUUGGAAACUGGAGGACUUGAGUACAGAAGAAAAGAGGAGAGUGGAAUUCCACGUGUAGCGGUGAAAUGCGUAGAGAUGUGGAGGAACACCAKUGGCGAAGCGACUCUCUGGUCUGUACUGACGCUGAGGCGCGAAAGCGUGGGGAGCGAACAGGAUUAGAUACCCUGGUAGUCCACGCCGUAAACGAUGAGUGCUAGGUGUUAGGGGGUUUCCGCCCCUUAGUGCUGAAGUUAACGCAUUAAGCACUCCGCCUGGGGAGUACGGCCGCAAGGCUGAAACUCAAAAGAAUUGACGGGGGCCCGCACAAGCGGUGGAGCAUGUGGUUUAAUUCGACGCAACGCGAAGAACCUUACCAGGUCUUGACAUCCUCUGCAAUCGGUAGAGAUACCGAGUUCCCUUCGGGGACAGAGUGACAGGUGGUGCAUGGUUGUCGUCAGCUCGUGUCGUGAGAUGUUGGGUUAAGUCCCGCAACGAGCGCAACCCUUGAUCUUAGUUGCCAGCAUUUAGUUGGGCACUCUAAGGUGACUGCCGGUGACAAACCGGAGGAAGGUGGGGRUGASGKCRAAUCAUCMUGCCCCUUAUGACCUGGGCUACACACGUGCUACAAUGGAU